CCACUGCUGAGGAGUCCCACAAUAGGACGAAACGGCCGUCCAGUGC
rfam:Schistosoma mansoni strain Puerto Rico chromosome W, complete genome